UACGUAGGGGGCUAGCGUUGUCCGGAAUCAUUGGGCGUAAAGAGCGCGUAGGCGGCCAGAUAAGUCCGGUGUGAAAGUCAAAGGCUCAACCUUUGAAUGGCCGCUGGAAACUGUCUGGCUAGAGUCCGGAAGGGGCGAGUGGAAUUCCUGGUGUAGCGGUGAAAUGACGCAGAUAUCAGGAGGAACACCAAUGGCGAAGGCAGCUCGCUGGAACGGUACUGACGCUGAGGCGCGAAAGCGUGGGGAGCAAACAGG
rnacentral:rRNA from 1 species